CAGAACAAUACUUUCAGGGAUUAUUUCUGUAGUUCAUUACUAGAGAAGCUCCUCUUAGCAUGUAGAGCACCAGAAAUCACAGGGAGGAGAGGCAGUGUUCUCUUCUGAGUGUGAAGUUGACACUUGGUGCUUUGCUGUAACUGCUGUUUACCAUUGGUGAUCGUUCUUUUCUUCCAGGAGAGUAAGAGGGAGAGGAUGCUAAAAAAAAAGU
rnacentral:snoRNA from 1 species